rnacentral:rRNA from 1 species
GACGAACGCUGGCGGUGUGCUUAAUACAUGCAAGUCGAACGGCUCUUCGGAGCAGUGGCGGACGGCUGAGUAACGCGUAGGUAACGUGCCUCUUACUGGGGGAUAACAUCGGGAAACUGGUGCUAAUACCGCAUAAGUCACGAGUUGAAAUACUUGUGAUUAAAGAGUUUCGGUAAGAGAUCGGCCUGCGGCUGAUUAGCUAGUUGGUAGGGUAAUGGCCUACCAAGGCGAUGAUCAGUAGUUGGUCUGAGAGGAUGACCAGCCAGAGUGGGACUGAGAACGGCCCACACUUCUACGGAAGGCAGCAGUAGGGAAUUUUGCGCAAUGGGCGAAAGCCUGACGCAGCAACACCGCGUGCGGGAUGAAGGCCUUCGGGUCGUAAACCGCUGUCGGCAGGGAAUAAAUUGACUGUACCUGCAAAGGAAGCACCGGCUAACUACGUGCCAGCCGCCGCGGUAA